UUCAGCCCUGUGACGGUAUCAAAUACUGGGGCUAUAGAAGAUGCAGGCAUUUAAAUCAUUACUGAUUUCUGGUUACUUUGCCUUCUAGCAGCAACCAAUAAAGAUCUAUAAGAUGUGAGAACUCUAAUGAUUGCUUUUACUCGAAGAGCUUUUCUGAUGGCAAAAGUUUGCAAAGUAUUAAGAAAACUAGACAAGGCAAGAAAAGAGGAUCUAACCAAAUAUUUAACUGCAUUGAGGAGCUGUUUCAAAAGAGCAUCAAAGGAGAUCUGAUUACUUUGUAACUUGGAGGUACAGAGAAACCACUCUUUCUGAUUCGUUUUAUUUGAAAGCAUAACAAUUUAUUUCUGGACAAUGGAACAAAAUAACGAUUUUAUUCAUGCAGAGAAUACAGAUCAUGAAACAUGUGGAAAAAAUAAUACCUGCCUGCUAAAAUAUUCAGGUGCUCUGAUUGACACUACUGAAAACCCUGAGGUGAAGGCUGAUGUCAAAAGCUCCAAAGAUUAGAGGAAGCCAACAUGUCUGUCUAACUGUCUAUGGAAAACAAAAUCCAAGACAAUGAAGGACUUUCAGGACGCAGUGGAGGGGAAACAUGCGAUGACCUGUUUUGUAUUAUCUGGGAAA